GGCGACAAAUACAUGGUGCAGAAACGUUAC
rnacentral:piRNA from 1 species